rnacentral:rRNA from 1 species
GUAGGGGGCUAGCGUUGUCCGGAUUUAUUGGGCGUAAAGAGCGUGUAGGCGGCCAGGUAGGUCUGCUGUGAAAACUCGAGGCUUAACCUCGAGAUGUCGGCGGAAACCAUCUGGCUAGAGUCCGGAAGAGGAGAGUGGAAUUCCUGGUGUAGCGGUGAAAUGCGCAGAUAUCAGGAAGAACACCCGUGGCGAAGGCGGCUCUCUGGGACGGUACUGACGCUGAGACGCGAAAGCGUGGGGAGCGAACAGGAUUAGAUACCCUGGUAGUCCACGCCGUAAACGAUGGGUGCUAGGUGUGGGCGGUGUCGACUCCGUCCGUGCCGAAGCUAACGCAUUAAGCACCCCGCCUGGGGAGUACGGCCGCAAGGCUAAA